UACGAAGGGGGCUAGCGUUGCUCGGAAUCACUGGGCGUAAAGGGUGCGUAGGCGGGUCUUUAAGUCAGGGGUGAAAUCCUGGAGCUCAACCCGGGAACUGCGUCCGAGACUGGAAGGCUUGAAUCCGGGAGAGGGAUGUGGAAUUCCAGGUGUAGCGGUGAAAUGCGUAGAUAUCUGGAGGAACAUCGGUGGCGAAGGCGGCAUCCUGGACCGGUAUUGACGCUGAGGCGCGAAAGCCAGGGGAGCAAACGGG
rnacentral:rRNA from 1 species